GCGAGCAUAGUUUUGUAAAAAUAUUAGAUUGUGAUUCUAAAGACAGAAGCUAAAAUCUUCUUGCUCACC
rnacentral:tRNA from 2 species